rnacentral:rRNA from 1 species
AACGAACGCUGGCGGCAGGCUUAACACAUGCAAGUCGAACGGUUGUAGCAAUACAGCAGUGGCAGACGGGUGAGUAACACGUGGGAACCUUCCUAGGGGUACGGAACAACUCAGGGAAACUUGAGCUAAUACCGUAUACGUCCGUGAGGAGAAAGAUUUAUCGCCCUUAGACGGGCCCGCGUCGGAUUAGCUAGUUGGUGGGGUAACGGCCUACCAAGGCGACGAUCCGUAGCUGAUCUUAGAGGAUGAUCAGCCACACUGGGACUGAGACACGGCCCAGACUCCUACGGGAGGCAGCAGUGGGGAAUCUUGGACAAUGGGCGCAAGCCUGAUCCAGCCAUGCCGCGUGAGUGAUGAAGGCCUUCGGGUUGUAAAGCUCUUUCAGUAGGGAAGAUAAUGACGGUACCUACAGAAGAAGCUCCGGCUAACUUCGUGCCAGCCGCCGCAGUAA